rnacentral:rRNA from 1 species
GACGAACGCUGGCGGCGUGCUUAACACAUGCAAGUCGAACGGUAAGGCCCUUCGGGGUACACGAGUGGCGAACGGGUGAGUAACACGUGGGUGAUCUGCCCUGCACUUCGGGAUAAGCCUGGGAAACUGGGUCUAAUACCGGAUAGGACCCUGGGAUGCAUGUCCUGGGGUGGAAAGCUUUUGCGGUGUGGGAUGGGCCCGCGGCCUAUCAGCUUGUUGGUGGGGUGAUGGCCUACCAAGGCGACGACGGGUAGCCGGCCUGAGAGGGUGACCGGCCACACUGGGACUGAGAUACGGCCCAGACUCCUACGGGGGGCAGCAGUGGGGAAUAUUGCACAAUGGGCGCAAGCCUGAUGCAGCGACGCCGCGUGAGGGAUGACGGCCUUCGGGUUGUAAACCUCUUUCAGCACCGACGAAGCGCAAGUGACGGUAGGUGCGGAAGAAGGACCGGCCAACUACGUGCCAGCAGCCGCCGUAAGAC